AAAAAUUCUCCGACACCGACUUACGACAUGAUUCGAGUCACACUCCUUGCCGCUGCUGUUGCUCUUGUCGCGGGCGUGCCCCACGUGCCCCGUCUCGAUGGAGGUCUCCCCCGCCUGCCCAAGAUCGUAGGGGGAGUGGAGGCUUCCCCUGGGGAGUUUCCUCACCAGAUCUCCAUGCAGAGGAACGGCAUCUUCGGAAAAUCUCACUCCUGUGGGGGUUCCAUCUUCAAUGAGAACUACAUCGUCACGGCCGGUCACUGCGUCCAUGGCACGAGCGCCUCCAAGAUCUUCGUCGUGGCCGGGGAACACGACCUCUCCACCACCUCAGGAGACGAGCAGGAGAGCCCGGCCGAAGCCCUGAUCGAGCACGAGCACUACGACUCGAGCACCAUCACCAACGACAUCGCCCUCAUCAAGCUGGCCACGCCCUUGGUCAUGAACGGCCUGGUGCAGCCCAUAGAACUCCCGGCCCAGGGGGAGUUCGCGGCGGCCGGGAGUCGUGUACGACCACGGGCUGGGGGACCACGGUGGAGGGGGGGUUCAUCCCCGAUAUUCUGAGGAAGGUGGACGUCCCUAUUGUGGAUGACGACACCUGCAGGCAAUCCUACGGCGUCACGGAGAUCGCCGACUCCAUGCUGUGCGCAGGACUCCCAGAAGGAGGUAAGGACGCCUGCCAGGGUGACUCCGGAGGCCCCUUCGUCUGCGGGGGAAAGCUCCAUGGCAUCACGUCCUGGGGCUAUGGCUGCGCUCGCCCCAACUACCCCGGGGUGUAUACCGAAGUGGCGUACUUCAGGGACUGGGUUGAUUCCCACGCUGUUUAAGGCGCGGGAGAAGUUGGCGCAGAGAGAGAAGUUCUAGAGGAAAUUCGCUGGCCUUUCAGAAGAAUUUUUGAAAAGAGAAAGGUGUCUUCAGAGGAAAGUUCAGAUUUUUUUGUGAUUUUUUUUUCUGGAGAAUUUGGAUAGAUAAAUUCAACUGAAGUAUAUCUGUAUUUUAAUAAAAAAGGAAGUUUAAUCUGUCAUUUGAUUCUAUUCAUUACAAUGGGUAAUACUAUUUUUCCUUUUUCCCAUGAAAUUUAAGCAAUAAAAUCUGCUAACCC